UAGGGAAUAUUGCAAAAUGGGCGAAAGCCCGAUGCAGCGACGCCGCGUGGGCGAUGAAGGCCUUCGGGUCGUAAAGCCCUUUUUGAGGGGAUGAGGAAGGACAGUACCCUCAGAAUAAGCCUCGGCUAACUACGUGCCAGCAGCCGCGGUAAAACGUAGGAGGCGAGCGUUAUCCGGAUUUACUGGGCGUAAAGCGCGUGCAGGCGGAUUGGAGAGUUGGAUGUGAAAGCUCCCGGCUUAACUGGGAGAGGUCGUUCAAUACUUCCAGGCUUGAGUGCAGUAGAGGGCAGUGGAAUUCCGGGUGUAGUGGUGAAAUGCGUAGAUAUCCGGAGGAACACCAGUGGCGAAAGCGGCUUCCUGGACUGUAACUGACGCUCAGACGCGAAAGCUAGGGUAGCAAACG
rnacentral:rRNA from 1 species